GAGCACUCCUACGGGAGGCAGCAGUGGGGAAUAUUGCACAAUGGGCGCAAGCCUGAUGCAGCCAUGCCGCGUGUAUGAAGAAGGCCUUCGGGUUGUAAAGUACUUUCAGCAGUGAGGAAGGUGGGUAUGUUAAUAGCAUACUCAUUUGACGUUUAGCUGCAGAAGAAGCACCGGCUAACUCCGUGCCAGCAGCCGCGGUAAUACGGAGGGUGCGAGCGUUAAUCGGAAUUACUGGGCGUAAAGCGCAUGCAGGUGGUUUGUUAAGUCAGAUGUGAAAGCCCGGGGCUCAACCUCGGAAUUGCAUUUGAAACUGGCAAACUAGAGUACUGUAGAGGGGGUAGAAUUUCAGGUGUAGCGGUGAAAAUGCGUAGAGAUCUGAAGGAAUACCGGUGGCGAAGGCGGCCCCCUGGACAGAUACUGACACUCAGAUGCGAAAGCGUGGGGAGCAAACAGGAUUAGAUACCCGGUAG
rnacentral:rRNA from 1 species